AGAUGAGGUAGAGGUCGCGAUUUUUAUUAGUAAAAAGAGGGAAAGCCAGAGAGCUUAUUGAUUGCUUUUGAAAGGAAAUAUCGCCGAAGCACUAUUAUUCUCUGAUAAUAGUAGCUGGGUCUGCAUACGAAUAGGUGCAGAACUGUCAUAGGAUCUUACUAUGAUGAACUAUCCUGUUA
rfam:Bacillus circulans strain RIT379 contig40, whole genome shotgun sequence.